CGCAGACGGACCAGGACCUGAGACCCGCUUCCUUCACUCUCACGGCCUCUCUGGGGUGCCGUGCCUCCACGUGACCCCCUUUCCCAGGAUCCUGGGAGCUCCUUCCAGUUCCUACCUCUGGACGAUGAAAACUGAAGGUGCCGAGACUUGGGAACCCCAAUCACCCUCGCCGAGCCGCGGGUAACUCUCCUGGUAGCGCAGGAAGUAGCCAGACAGACCACGGCGCCCCUUUAUCACUAUUAUCAAUAAAAGGUUG